rnacentral:rRNA from 1 species
AUGGUCUUUGAUGCUCGAGCCUUCACACUAGGCAUGUUGAGCGAGAGUGCAUUCUGGCUGACUCGCUGUAACUUAUUGUUCCUGUGGUGUGUUGAGCCUUAUAACCCAGAGCGUGUAAUGAGACAGUUCGGUCUCUAUCAAGAAAUUCCACCACCUUUUCCAAGACGCAUCGAUGAGGAAACCCAUAAGCUAACCAAUAUGGGCAGGGGUUGGAGUUUAUACGAUUGGAGGGAACACAACAUUCAAUGGGUACAGAAGUGGGAAAAUGAAGCGCUAGCAGAUAUAGUGCAUCAACUUAGACCAUACGAUGGAAGUACAGAUCAAGCGUACAAGCAGUGGUACUGCAUCAACACACGUGCUAGCCUGGCUAGUCAGCCAACUACUAUACCAACACAUCUCACACAGGAGGAGCAGGCACGGAGACAUAUUGAGCUGCAUGCAGCUUACUAUCGUGACCAGAUGCUUGCAAGCUGCAACGAAGUAGGGCAGAUGGCUACGGAAAGCAUGCCGGCCCAGGGCCCAGCUCGCCCGUCAUUCAGCAAACGUUUUCAACAAUACCUGGUAACAAAGUUCAGAUGUGGUAGAGGCGAUGAUGUUGUCACUGGAGUGUACAACAUGCCGGUAGCGAGGUCAGCCAGACUGAGUGCGGCACCGUUGUCUAGACCGAGCGAGGCGCGUACGAGCCAUGGGAAGUGGGGGGAGGGUCCGAGUACUAGAACGACAUUGCCACGACAUGACUCAUCUCUACCACUGCAUCGCUCUUCUUCGGUGCAGCUUCGUCAGGGGCAGACAUCUGAGGACCAUGGCACGGGCUUGGAUUCAAUGCCCGAGCAGACUCUUUCCCCUAACCCAUAUGUGUACACAGGAUAUGACGCAUACACCCAAGGUGAGGGAUCUCAGUCGUAUCUCUCCACGCGAGGGAUCUCCAUGCCCGAGGAGACUCGUGUACCGGAUUUAAACCAGUACUACGUACAAUGGCCAGACAGUACAGGCGAGGGAUCUGAUCAGGGUGGCAUACCUAAUGUUAAUUGGGACGAUGAGAACACCCAACGUGGCGUCAACGCAGGUGUCCCGGGAGCAUCACAUGAUCAUGGCGACACGGUUACAUCAUUAGUUACAGAGUUCUUCGGAGGGGACGUUAUUGGCCCAUCUUUUAUCCCCGCGGAGUCACAACCAUACGCCUACAAUUACACUUCAGGUUCGCAACAAGGAUUCCCGACUCCACCACCUACGCAGGAGUCGCAGACACAUGAAGCCGAAUUGGAGUACGGCCACGGUCUUCGUGUAACUCGGCCACCUAAUCGCUUGGAGCUUUCCGAUCGUAAGGAAAGGCUAGGUGGUCGUCGUAAACUACGGUGA